AUUGAUUGCCUGUAUGCAUACUUAUAGUGGAGAAUUUGCCACUGAUGUAACUCUUUUCUUUUUUUCUAUUUAUAAUUUUAUGGGUCUGAAUCUAAUAAAACAUUUGGACUUGUAUUUUGUAUGACCUUUUUAACUUUUAUUUUUCCAGCAGUUCAUUUUAAUUUUACUUUUUAAAAGUGUUGGUCCAUGAAAGAUUGUAAUUUUGAAGAAGGAAAGUGGUUUUUCACCACACAUAGUCUGGGCGAUCUAGGCCAGGCACAAUGCUCACAUCUGUAAUCCUAGCACUUUGGGAGGCCGAGGUGGGUGGAUCGCUUGAGCCCAAGAGUUUGAGACCAGCCUGGGCAACAUGGUGAAACCCCGUCUCUGAAAAAAGAAAUACAAAAUAAUUUGCCCGGUGUGGUGGCCACAUACGUGUAGUCCCAGCUACUCAGGAAGCUGAGGUGGGAGGAUCUCUUGAGCCCAGGAAGCCGAAGCCACAGUGAGCUGUGAUUGCACCACUGCACUCCAGUCUGGGUGACAA
rnacentral:lncRNA from 1 species